rnacentral:rRNA from 1 species
GGCCUAACACAUGCAAGUCGAACGGUAACAGGAAGCAGCUUGCUGCUUUGCUGACGAGUGGCGGACGGGUGAGUAAUGUCUGGGAAACUGCCCGAUGGAGGGGGAUAACUACUGGAAACGGUAGCUAAUACCGCAUAACGUCGCAAGACCAAAGAGGGGGACCUUCGGGCCUCUUGCCAUCGGAUGUGCCCAGAUGGGAUUAGCUAGUAGGUGGGGUAACGGCUCACCUAGGCGACGAUCCCUAGCUGGUCUGAGAGGAUGACCAGCCACACUGGAACUGAGACACGGUCCAGACUCCUACGGGAGGCAGCAGUGGGGAAUAUUGCACAAUGGGCGCAAGCCUGAUGCAGCCAUGCCGCGUGUAUGAAGAAGGCCUUCGGGUUGUAAAGUACUUUCAGCGGGGAGGAAGGGAGUAAAGUUAAUACCUUUGCUCAUUGACGUUACCCGCAGAAGAAGCACCGGCUAACUCCGUGCCAGCAGCCGCGGUAAUACGGAGGGUGCAAGCGUUAAUCGGAAUUACUGGGCGUAAAGCGCACGCAGGCGGUUUGUUAAGUCAGAUGUGAAAUCCCCGGGCUCAACCUGGGAACUGCAUCUGAUACUGGCAAGCUUGAGUCUCGUAGAGGGGGGUAGAAUUCCAGGUGUAGCGGUGAAAUGCGUAGAGAUCUGGAGGAAUACCGGUGGCGAAGGCGGCCCCCUGGACGAAGACUGACGCUCAGGUGCGAAAGCGUGGGGAGCAGACAGGAUUAGAUACCCUGGUAGUCCACGCCGUAAACGAUGUCGACUUGGAGGUUGUGCCCUUGAGGCGUGGCUUCCGGAGCUAACGCGUUAAGUCGACCGCCUGGGGAGUACGGCCGCAAGGUUAAAACUCAAAUGAAUUGACAGGGGCCCGCACAAGCGGUGGAACAUGGGGUUUAAUUCGAUGCAACGCGAAGAACCUUACCUGGUCUUGACGUCCCCGGAAGUUUUCAGAGAUGAGAAUGUGCCUUCGGGAACCGUGAGA